AUUGAACGCUGGCGGCAGGCUUAACACAUGCAAGUCGAGCGGGGUGAUGGUGCUUGCACUUUCACUUAGCGGCGGACGGGUGAGUAAUGCUUAGGAAUCUGCCUAUUAGUGGGGGACAACAUCUCGAAAGGGAUGCUAAUACCGCAUACGUCCUACGGGAGAAAGCAGGGGAUCACUUGUGACCUUGCGCUAAUAGAUGAGCCUAAGUCGGAUUAGCUAGUUGGUGGGGUAAAGGCCUACCAAGGCGACGAUCUGUAGCGGGUCUGAGAGGAUGAUCCGCCACACUUGGACUGAGACACGGCCCAGACUCCUACGGGGGGCAGCAGUGGGGAAUCUUGGACAAUGGGGGGAACCCUGAUCCAGCCAUGCCGCGUGUGUGAAGAAGGCCUUAUGGUUGUAAAGCACUUUAAGCGAGGAGGAGGCUCUUUUGGUUAAUACCCAAGAUGAGUGGACGUUACUCGCAGAAUAAGCACCGGCUAACUCUGUGCCAGCCGCCGCCGUAACAC
rnacentral:rRNA from 1 species